rnacentral:tRNA from 1 species
GGGCCUAUAGCUCAGCGGUAGAGCAGCCGGCUCAUAACUGGUAGCGCGUAGGUUCGAAUCCUACUAGGCCCACCA